UUCAGGAGGCGCCAGUUUCGGCAUGGGAGGCGGCGCUGGCGCAGGUGCAGGUGGUGCUGGAGGUGGUGGUGAAAUGGGAUUCGGGUUUAACGGCAACGCAGGCGCUGGCGGCGGCGCUGGCGGUGGCAAGUAAAACUACCAGAUGGAGAACAAAUUCACACUAACGACUUGCGACACAAAUACGAGAUAUACCUGAAAUGUACUUAGAUUUUACUAAUAUGAGUGUAAUAUAGAUAUUUACUAAUAAAACAUGUUGGUAUCAAACAUUUUUUUAACCUUUUGAACGCCAGAGCGUAAACACAUCGGCGCCCCUUCUACGCCAAGCCACAAAUUCAGUACAAAAACCUACAAAAAAAAUAGUGAUUCCAACAUCUUAACGAAAAGUUAUCGAUAACCAAUGAAUCCGUGCUUUUCGUUCUAUAUUUUUUAAAUAAAUAUUAUUCGUUGCA